rnacentral:rRNA from 1 species
GAUGAACGCUGGCGGCGUGCCUAAUACAUGCAAGUCGAGCGAACGGACGAGAAGCUUGCUUCUCUGAUGUUAGCGGCGGACGGGUGAGUAACACGUGGAUAACCUACCUAUAAGACUGGGAUAACUUCGGGAAACCGGAGCUAAUACCGGAUAAUAUUUUGAACCGCAUGGUUCAAAAGUGAAAGACGGUCUUGCUGUCUCUUAUAGAUGGAUCCGCGCUGCAUUAGCUAGUUGGUAAGGUAACGGCUUACCAAGGCAACGAUGCAUAGCCGACCUGAGAGGGUGAUCGGCCACACUGGAACUGAGACACGGUCCAGACUCCUACGGGAGGCAGCAGUAGGGAAUCCUCCGCAAUGGGCGAAAGCCUGACGGAGCAACGCCGCGUGAGUGAUGAAGGUCUUCGGAUCGUAAAACUCUGUUAUUAGGGAAGAACAUAUGUGUAAGUAACUGUGCACAUCUUGACGGUACCUAAUCAGAAAGCCACGGCUAACUACGUG